rnacentral:rRNA from 1 species
AUUGAACGCUGGCGGCAGGCCUAACACAUGCAAGUCGAACGAGUGGCGGACGGGUGAGUAAUGUCUGGGAAACUGCCUGAUGGAGGGGGAUAACUACUGGAAACGGUAGCUAAUACCGCAUACCAUCAGAUGUGCCCAGAUGGGAUUAGCUUGUUGGUGGGGUAACGGCUCACCAAGGCGACGAUCCCUAGCUGGUCUGAGAGGAUGACCAGCAACACGGGAACGGAGACAGGGUCCAGAUGCCUACGGGAGGAAGCAGUGGGGAAUAUUGCAAAAUGGGGGCAAGCCUGAUGAAGCCAGGCCGCGGGUAUGAAGAAGGCCUUCGGGUGGUAAUGUACUUUCAGCGAGGAGGCGUUACCCGCAGAAGAAGCACCGGCUAACUCCGUGCCAGCAGCCGCGGUAAUUC